rnacentral:rRNA from 1 species
UACGUAGGGCGCGAGCGUUGUCCGGAAUUAUUGGGCGUAAAGAGCUCGUAGGCGGCCUGUCGCGUCCGCUGUGAAAACUCGGGGCUCAACUCCGAGCUUGCAGUCGAUACGGGCAGGCUAGAGUUCGGCAGGGGAGACUGGAAUUCCUGGUGUAGCGGUGAAAUGCGCAGAUAUCAGGAGGAACACCGGUGGCGAAGGCGGGUCUCUGGGCCGAUACUGACGCUGAGGAGCGAAAGCGUGGGGAGCGAACAGG